UACAGAGGAGCCAAGCGUUGUCCGGAUUGACUGGGCGUAAAGGGUGCGUAGGUGGCGUGGUAAGUUUGAUGUGAAAGCUCAGGGCUUAACCCUGAAAUGGCAUUGAAUACUACUGUGCUGGAGGUUUGGAGGGGGGACUGGAAUUCUUGGUGUAGCAGUGAAAUGCGUAGAUAUCAAGAGGAACACCAGUGGCGAAGGCGAGUCCCUGGACAACACCUGACACUGAGGCACGAAAGCUAGGGGAGCAAACAGG
rnacentral:rRNA from 1 species